UACAGAGGGGGCAAGCGUUGUUCGGAAUUACUGGGCGUAAAGGGCGCGUAGGCGGUUCGUCAAGUCCUGGGUGAAAUCCCCCGGCUCAACUGGGGAACUGCACAGGAAACUAGCGGGCUUGAGUUCGGGAGAGGGAAGCGGAAUUCCGGGUGUAGCGGUGAAAUGCGUAGAUAUCCGGAGGAACACAGGUGGCGAAGGGGGUUGCUGGGCUGACACUGACGCUGAGGCGCGAAAGCUAGGGGAGCGAACGGG
rnacentral:rRNA from 1 species